GACGAACGCUGGCGGCGUGCCUAAUACAUGCAAGUAGAACGCACAGUUUAUACCGUAGCUUGCUACACCAUAGACUGUGAGUUGCGAACGGGUGAGUAACGCGUAGGUAACCUGCCUGGUAGCGGGGGAUAACUAUUGGAAACGAUAGCUAAUACCGCAUAAUAUUAAUUAUUGCAUGAUAAUUAAUUGAAAGGUGCAAUUGCACCACUACCAGAUGGGCCUGCGUUGUAUUAGCUAGUAGGUGAGGUAACGGCUCACCUAGGCGACGAUACAUAGCCGACCUGAGAGGGUGAUCGGCCACACUGGGACUGAGACACGGCCCAGACUCCUACGGGAGGCAGCAGUAGGGAAUCUUCGGCAAUGGACGAAAGUCUGACCGAGCAACGCCGCGUGAGUGAAGAAGGUUUUCGGAUCGUAAAGCUCUGUUGUAAGAGAAGAACGGGUGUGAGAGUGGAAAGUUCACACUGUGACGGUAUCUUACCAGAAAGGGACGGCUAACUACGUG
rnacentral:rRNA from 1 species